rnacentral:misc_RNA from 1 species
AGCAGCCGCGGUAAUUCCAGCUCCAAUAGCGUAUAUUAAAGUUGUUGCAGUUAAAAGCUCGUAGCUGAAUUUCGGGAUCAAGUCGUCGGUCGUGCUCAGGUACGUACUGGCGUCAUUGAUUUCUCCCUUCUGACGAACCAUGAUGUCAUUAAUUUGGUGUCAUGGGAAAUCAGGACUGUUACUUUGAAAAAGUUGAGUGUUUAAAGCAGGCUCACGCUUGAAUACAUUAGCAUGGAAUAAUGAAAUAGGACGUUCGAUCCUAUUUUGUUGGUUUUUAGGAUCAACGUAAUGAUUAAUAGGGAUAGUUGGGGGCAUUAGUAUUCAGUUGUCAGAGGUGAAAUUCUUGGAUUUAUUGAAGACUAACUACUGCGAAAGCAUUUGCCAAGG